UUCUACCCCAAUCGAGUAGUGAAAACAUUUUAAAAGGGGAGAAAGACCAAAAUGAGAAAAGAGAGUGACGGAAAUGGAGAGGUGGAAAGGGACAAGAAAAGAAAAGACUUUCAUGGCCUGAUAUUAUUGCAUGUAUUGUUUACACCUAUUGAAAGUACAAUUCUUUUCAUACUUAUUGAUUUGUAUAUGAUGUAUGUGAAUAUGAAAUAUGAAAUUUAACUAAACCGAAAAGAAAAAAACUUUUAACUCUGUCCCCGCUAUCGUCGACUUAAUCAGUGGACCACCACAGUAAACAUUUGGCACAUGUUAUGUAGACUGUGUAUAUACCAGUAACUCAAAACAAUGAAGCAGUCUUGGGUUUCAUUCUGGUGUGAAUAUUGAAACAAAUGUCAGCAAGAUUUUUCCUUCUUCAGGAAUCAGAAUGGAGCGACAGAAGGAGAAGGAGCUUCCAGCAGUGGAAGCACGGAUGGAUCUCAUUCAGACAUAAGUGGGUUUCACAGCCUUCAUUCAAACAACAGAGCUCAAAGAAGGUCAUCUCCUGAUGGUUCACCAAGAAGAGACUUGUUGAAACCUGACUCACUAUCCAUUAAGGAUGUUAUGGCUUUUGCUUUGACUGGACGGACUUUAAGCACCGAAAGUUCUAAUUCAGACAUGAGUGGGUGUCACAGCUUACAUUCCAAUGAUGAAGUUGAGGGAAGGACUUCAGGAGACACCAAAUCCUCCCAGUCUAACAUCAUGUCUCAGCCUGGAACACUAGCUAGCACCGAGAAUGCUUCAUAUGCUAAAGACUCAAAAGUGACUCCACCCAUGGCUGCAUUGAGAUCUGAG